CCGCGCGCCACUGGCGGCGGCAGCGGCAGAUGUGGCCCCGGCUGCCCCAAGGAGCCAACAAUGCCGGGCCGGCAAAACAAAAGGGAUUCGCUUCGCGUCUUUCCCGGCCUCUCACUUACACUCUCGGGGAACCGCGCGGGAUCCCGGACCAACAGGGGCCGCGCCCCCAGGGGCCCCGAGCCACGCGCGCCCCGACUUGUCCCCGCCGACCCCGGUCUCUACUCCCCCCUGCCCGCUCGCCUUCCAGGCGCAAGGCCUGCCGCACCCCGUCAUGCUCGGACUCUUGGUCCCCAGGGAUCCGGCCGUAUUGUCCCCGCGGCGCGCAGCGCGCUCGUCUGAGAUCGCCAGCGGCCCCCGCGCGCGCACCCACCGGGCUCCAGGAGCAAGCCCGGGGCGCCUAGGAAACCGUCGUCAGACGCCGCCGCCGCUGCCCUCCGGACGCCGCUGCGCGCCGGGUUUUUCUUUCCUUUUUUUUCCAAUCCUGAUGGGAAGGAAGGUGACCGCCUACUUCGCAUUCAUCAACUCUCAUCACAACAACAAAAAUCCUGGAGCAAAGGGCGGCCAGCAAGCGCAAUCGGUGGCGAGGGGCAGAGGACCAGAACCCCCAGGCGGGGGUCCACUCCCGGGCGUAGUGUAUGGACACAGGGCUGGGGGCGCUGACCAAAGAUGUCCUCGGAUGCCGGCCCGGUGUCCUUCGCCCUCCUCCUUCUCCCGGAGUGGCGCAGUGAGGCGCGGGCACGGUGCCCCAGCCAGCGGCCGCAGGUGAGGCGGGGGCGGCGACAGCCCCAGCCCUCCCCGGGUACCCCCGCCCUUACCUCGUCCUGGGUCGUUGGCGUCCGAGGAGAAGGGCGCCCACCCGGGAGGCGGCGGCGGUAGCGGUGGCUCCCGCCCCUCCCACCCCACCCGGCGGCGGUGGCGGUGGUGGUGGUGGCGCUGGCGGUGCGGCCCCCCCUCUCAGCGCGGCAUGGCUCCCAGCUCGGUCUCUCGUUCCUCCGUCCGCAGCUGGCUCCUCUGGGCCGCUCCCGAGCCACCUUAAAAUGACACACGCACACAGAGACACACACACAAAAACUUAAUCUCUCCAGCUCCGCGCCCCACCCCCUCCCGCCCUCCCCUCCCUUCCUUUGCCUUCCCUUCCCUCCCUUCCUUCCCUUCCCUUCCUCCUCCUCCCGUCGCCGCCGAGCCUCUUCCUACUUCCCCACCCACCCCACCCCCUUCCCCCGCCCACCGGCUCCCGAUCCAGUCCCCCCCUCGUCCGGGCCGCGCGCCUUCUUGCCAGCCCCGCGGCCUGGCGGGGGCUGCGUUGGGGGUCCCUGGCCCGCGCCUCUCUCACCCCCCCAGAGGAUGCUGGCUGCAACUUGGAUCCGGGGAGGGAAGGUCCUGGAAGCCGAGCGCCUCCGGGCUAUUUGCUCUUCUUUAUUUGUUUUCUCCUCCCGGGAAGGAGGAGGAAAGCGCAGAGAAAAGGAAAGGAAAGGACGGAAGCGGCGCGGGCCGCUGCUCCGGUGCCCUCCGGCUGCGCAGGAGCGAGGCGGGAGGCGAGAUACUUCUCACUACAAAUCGGCUCUCUCCGGGGAUUAGCAGCUACACGAAAGUGCAUACUGGCGCUGCGGGCAGCCGAGGGGGCCGGGCAAGGCAGACACUCCCCGGCCCAGCCCCGCGCCUCCACUGAGACUCUGGGGACGCGCAGGGGUCCCGCAGCCGGUGGGGUGACUUCGCCCUCCUUCUUCCUCCUCCCCUUCCACGUGGGGCCCGCCACGUGGGGAGACGCGAGCUCUGGCGGGCCUCGGCACCGUCCCCCGGGUGGCCCCGGCUCGAUAAGGCCCCCACCACGCCCGCUCAGCCGACCUGCACUCUACUCGGCCCCGAGGCUCCAACUUCCUCCUGGGCCCCGCGCAGGCCACGGGUGCCGUCCCAGGCUCGUGAGGUCAGGCGCGGGCCGGCCACAGGGGGCACUUGCGCUCCCAGAUCCCAGAUCCGGGAGACCCUGCCAGGGAGGUAGCGCUGGCUGCGGGUGCGCGCGGAGACUGGUCUGUGUGCUGGAACUUGCCACGAUGUGUUCGCUACGAGAAGCCAAAUGUUUUUACACAUUUAGAAAUGUCUUUCUGUUGUCUGAAUGUCGCUGGGGCUAUUUUGAAAGCCUUGCCUUGGUCAGGUCACCAGCCUCUCUGAGACCUUGCGGGCCCAGGGGUCGCGUGUGCAGUGCCAUUUCUCGAUCACGAGUCCACAAGUGUCUCGGUGCAUUGCGAUUGAAAUCUGGACUCUCAACGACCAGGGGACACAGCGGCCGCGCGAGACUAGCCAGCAUCUGGGCUGGAUUCCUUGGCCAUGACCCGCAACAUCUAAGCGCUGUCCCCGGAAGGGAGCCGGCUCCCUGCGCUCAGGGCCCCCCAGGCUUACCAGACUUUAAGCGCGCGUCUUCUAAGGACCCCUGUGGCGCUAAACAGAGCCCUUGUAUGCAGUUGUUUUAAAAAUCGUUUGGGGUGCUAGCGACUGGAUUGAGAUGUUAGGUUGUAUGAUCGAGAGGGGGUGUCCAGGGUCACAACUUUGAAGACCACAGGGACCGCCAUUCAGAGAGCCACGUAAAGUGGUGUGGGUGGCCUCCUCGCGACCGGAGAAAUUUAUAGCAGAGGCCUCCGAGCCCCUAAACCCAUCGCUGAGCGUUCUUCAGAGCCCUGCCUUUCUCGGGCUUUAUCACGGCCUGUUUGUCUUACUUAAACUGAACACCCAGAUGCCGGGCGUGAGACUAGCAAUGUGGGGUUUCUAUGUUAUGUAGCCAAACUGGGUUUUAAACUAGAUUGAAAAUCUUUUCUGAAAGGUAAAACGGGUAUGGUCCCUCUCAGACCAACCUUUCAUGAUAUUCCCGUGGCCCCAAUAGUCCAGGGGCUGGUCUUGAUGUUCUGUGAAAGGUAUACACCCGCCUCUGACCCAGUGGUCUCCAUCUUCCAGGGCUGUGUGCUCACAGAUUCCUCUUAAGAGUUCACUUCUUCCCAACAGCUUCGCUCCAGGUCCAUGAGGCCCAGGACUUGCUGGCAAAUUGACCUUGUCCAUACCAGGGCUUCUGUGUCACCAAUGCCUGCUUUCUGGUCCUACCUAUGGUAGUUCCUGCUCUUUUGUUUCUCAGAUCUUUACCCUUCGUGGUCCCCUAUUCUCACCAAGAAACCACAGUCAGCUGGCUUUUCCUAUUGCUUCUUCAGCUUUCCUGUGGUCUGAUUUUGAAUUCCACUUUAGAAAAAUGCUUCCGUGGGCCCUGCAGGAUGCCUCAGCCUACAAAGCUGCUAUCAAGCCAGAGGAUCUGAGUUCAGUCCUUAAAGGCUGGGUGAAGACGGAAGGAAAGAGUAGACUAAGUUGUCUCAGACCCCUGCAUGAGUACCACAUAUCACACAACAAUAAAAUACUACCCUCUUUCUUAUGAACUCAGAACUAAAAAUUAUUUCAAACUUCAGCCUGACCACUUGCAUUUUAAAAUAUGGAACCCAG
ensembl:lncRNA